rnacentral:rRNA from 1 species
GACGAACGCUGGCGGCGUGCUUAACACAUGCAAGUCGAACGGAAAGGCCUGCUUUCCCUUGUGGAUUGCGGGUACUCGAGUGGCGAACGGGUGAGUAACACGUGAGUGAUCUGCCCCCAACUUGGGUAUAAGCCUGGGAAACUGGGUCUAAUUCCCGAUAGGACUGCAGGGUGGUGCCUGUGGUGGAAAACGAUUUUCUAGUGGUUGGGGAUGAGCUCGCGGCCUAUCAGCUUGUUGGUGGGGUAAUGGCCUACCAAGGCGGCGACGGGUAGCCGGCCUGAGAGGGUGGACGGCCACAUUGGGACUGAGAUACGGCCCAGACUCCUACGGGAGGCAGGAGUGGGGAAUAGUGCACAAUGGGCGGAAGCCUGAUGCAGCGACGCCGCGUGGGGGAUGACGGCCUUCGGGUUGUAAACUCCUUUCGACCGCGAGGAAGCCACCUGGUUGGAAGGGUGGUGACGGUAGUGGUAGAAGAAGCACCGGCUAACUACGUG